AGUGAACGCUGGCGGUAGGCCUAACACAUGCAAGUCGAACGGCAGCACAGUAAGAGCUUGCUCUUACGGGUGGCGAGUGGCGGACGGGUGAGGAAUACAUCGGAAUCUACUUUUUCGUGGGGGAUAACGUAGGGAAACUUACGCUAAUACCGCAUACGACCUACGGGUGAAAGCAGGGGAUCUUCGGACCUUGCGCGAUUGAAUGAGCCGAUGUCGGAUUAGCUAGUUGGCGGGGUAAAGGCCCACCAAGGCGACGAUCCGUAGCUGGUCUGAGAGGAUGAUCAGCCACACUGGAACUGAGACACGGUCCAGACUCCUACGGGAGGCAGCAGUGGGGAAUAUUGGACAAUGGGCGCAAGCCUGAUCCAGCCAUACCGCGUGGGUGAAGAAGGCCUUCGGGUUGUAAAGCCCUUUUGUUGGGAAAGAAAAGCAGCAGGCUAAUACCCCGCUGUUUUGACGGUACCCAAAGAAUAAGCACCGGCUAACUUCGUG
rnacentral:rRNA from 1 species